rnacentral:rRNA from 1 species
GACGAACGCUGGCGGCGUGCUUAACACAUGCAAGUCGAACGGUAAGGCCCUUCGGGGUACACGAGUGGCGAACGGGUGAGUAACACGUGGGUGAUCUGCCCUGCACUUCGGGAUAAGCCUGGGAAACUGGGUCUAAUACCGGGUAGGACCACUGCCUGCAUGGGUGGUGGUGGAAAGCUUUUGCGGUGUGGGAUGGGCCCGCGGCCUAUCAGCUUGUUGGUGGGGUGAUGGCCUACCAAGGCGACGACGGGUAGCCGGCCUGAGAGGAUGACCGGCCACACUGGGACUGAGAUACGGCCCAGACUCCUACGGGAGGCAGCAGUGGGGAAUAUUGCACAAUGGGCGCAAGCCUGAUGCAGCGACGCCGCGUGAGGGAUGACGGCCUUCGGGUUGUAAACCUCUUUCAGCACCGACGAAGCGCAAGUGACGGUAGGUGCAGAAGAAGGACCGGCCAACUACGUGCCAGCAGCCGCCGUAA